AAGUCGUAACAAGGUAACCGUAGGUGAACCUGCGGUUGGAUCAUUAACAAUAAGGAGUUGAAACUCUGCUGGAUUUAUCCAGUCAACCUGUGUGCACUGUAAUCGACUGGUGGGCAGCUUCUUCAAUGACUGCCCAACCAACUUAAAAAAACUUUAAACUUGACUGAAUCUGAGACAAUGAGAUACAACUUUUGACAACGGAUCUCUUGGCUCUC
rnacentral:misc_RNA from 1 species